rnacentral:rRNA from 1 species
GUGGGGAAUAUUGCACAAUGGGCGCAAGCCUGAUGCAGCAACGCCGCGUGAGGGAUGACGGCCUUCGGGUUGUAAACCUCUUUUAGUAGGGAAGAAGCGAAAGUGACGGUACCUGCAGAAAAAGCACCGGCUAACUACGUGCCAGCAGCCGCGGUAAUACGUAGGGUGCAAGCGUUGUCCGGAAUUAUUGGGCGUAAAGAGCUCGUAGGCGGCUUGUCGCGUCUGCUGUGAAAUCCCGGGGCUCAACCCCGGGCCUGCAGUGGGUACGGGCAAGCUAGAGUGCGGUAGGGGAGAUCGGAAUUCCUGGUG